rnacentral:lncRNA from 1 species
CACCUUGAUGGCCUCCUCCAUAACCACCUUGAUGCCCUCCUCCAUACCCACCCUGAUACCCGUUUCCGGGGCCUCCAUAGGACUUGCUCUCCUGAACACCCUUGCCUUCUGUGCUUUUCUCUGUAAUACAAACAGAAAAUUAAUAUAUGUCAUAUAAUGCGAACUAUCAAAAGCAUCUAUAAUGAAGUAGGUUGCUCAGAGUUUCUGUAGUGCUUUCAGAUUGGCAAUGUCCAAUUAAUGGUACGUUUCUCGAACUGCUUUUCUGAAGAGGCAAUAGAUGAUGCACAGAUGUGUACAUAUAUUGGAACAAAAAUGCGCCAGAAGAAAGGGAGGAGAGAUAAAAUCACCUGUUUCAUGAACGGAAGCAGAUACUUCAGAUGAGAUCAAGCAAACAAGAGCGAAGACAAGAGCGAAAAGAAAAAGGGAAGCUUUAGAACCAGCCAUUUGCAAGCCUCAGAAAAGAAACAAAGAUUUCUAUCACUGAAAGUUCUAUGUGAGAAGCGGUGACAAGAGCAAUGCAGCUCUUCCCCUAUUUAUAGCCUAAAUGGAGUUGCGGAGAGAGAGAGAGCAGUGGCUGCCCUGUAAAUAUCACAUGCAAUUAUCGUUUUCUUAUGAGUUUCUGAGCAUGUCACCGACUUUGUAGCUAGGGUUCAUGCAUGAGAGCAGUGGCUGCCCUGUAAAUAUCACAUGCAAUUGUCGUUUUCUUCUGAGUUCUGAGCAUAUCACUGACUUUGUAGCUAGGGUUCUUGCAUGAGAGUCCCCACAUGAGUUAAUGAUAUUGGAUAGGAUCGAUUCUACGUCAUCUAUGACGCUUGUCUUCAUCCCUCUUGACUCUAUAGUAUACUAUAACUCCACCCCAUAUUGUUCUUGACGAUUUUCUUUGUUGUCAGUUCACUGCCGCGCAGCAGGAUGGUGGUGUUGCUGCAGAGUUAACCAGGCACUGAGUCUCUCCCUGUCACAUCACCAAG